ACACUUAAAGAUACUUUUGUUUUUGGUGGGUUGUCUGAAGCAUCACGCUGAGUUUGGAUUUAACUUUGUCGUCACACAGUGGAAUUGAGGCAACCACCCUCUUUAUCACACAUGCCUGUCACAAAACGACCCAUUUCACAGGCAAAUUGAGACUUACAGGGCGAACACUGACAAGAUUUCUUGAAUUGUUAUUUCAUGUCUGGAUAUUUCUUUGGGAACACCUCUUGCCUGGUUUCAUGAAGAGACCUGGGCUUGAUUGGGUGAUGGAUGUUGUUAUGUUCAAUUGGCAGAAAAAGAAUCAGUUACAAUAUCUGGAGAAAAUUCAUUUGUUUUUUCCACGUUUGAGAAACAUUUGGGCAGGUACAUGGAUAGGACACGUUUCGAGGAACAUGGGCCAAAUGCAGGCAGUUAGGACUAGUGUAGAUGGGACAUGUUGGCCAGUAUGGGUAAAGUUGGACAAGGGGCCUGUUUCUACACUGCAAUACCAUUUGAUUCCAUAACCAUGACUCUCACUUGUGGUCCGGCAGCGCAGAAAACUGAAUCGUUCUCAAUUGCUUAAAUCUGAUUGAAUCCAAACGGAUUAGCUGAUAUAACUGAAGAAGGCCCAAGUGAAUAGGAGCCAAACCUAGAAGUAACCAAUGAUUUCCAAUGGAAAGUAAUGCUCUUCGCAUACUUUCAGUUCGCGGAUAAUUUAAAAAAAGCAAAUUUGAAUUGUAAAAUUAGUAUAAACUUGGUUUUUGUAGGAUGGAGUAUUCAAAGUUUGCUCAGCACAUGAAGUAUUAAACUUGUUUCAACAUUUCACAUAACAAUAUAGUGUUCAUGAGCUCUUACCAGCAGCAGAACUGCAUAUUCGUGUUUAAAAUCUCUUGCAUAUUUGUUGUACAAGACAGUUUUUCUUCUAUCAUUUUUCAAAUAUUUCAUUAUCUAUAUAAUCCUUUACAUUACAGUUUCACAAGAGUUUUGGAAAGGCUAACUGUUUUGAAAGCAACUUAUCAGCAGUGUCGUCACAGUGCAGUAGUUCAUUCCCACUUCCUGCUCAUUUCCGCUUGUCGAUGUGGAAAUGGUAUUUGUGCAAGCAUGCAAGUAACCACUAUUAGAUCUUGCCAAGUUACACGAGUCAUUAAAAAUAUGAUCAUUGAAAUAAAGCCUCACAACAUGUACAAAUUGGAGAAACAACAUCCCAAUUCCUCUUGAACUUCAAGGCAAAUCUAUAAAUGCAGUGAAGCUGUGAUGUGCGUUAAAUUGUUGAUGUUGGAUUAUGUAUAUAAUAUGACGCAUUGUUUUCCAAUGAUCUUGCCUUAAUAUUUGCAAGGAUUGGGUCGUGAGGAGAUUUGUUUGUAGUCUUUAAAAGGUUCCCUUAAAAAAUAUAUAGACUAGGACAGAAUUCAGUUGAAAAAGCACAGAGCCCAGGUGCCUGCUAUUAGAUUAUUACUGCUGUCAUACUGUGUCUGCUGAAUAGAGUGAGAAUCAAAGAAAAAGUUGCUACCACACAUGAAAAUAAUUACAGUUUUAUAAACAUAAUAUUGUGGUAAUAUACUGAAACUUAAAGCAAAUCAUUGCUUUUAAAGAAAUCUUUUAAGUUCAGUUUUAUAUAUAAGAUAUAAUUAUUUUGUAAUUGUCCAGACUUUUGUGUACUCAUUCAUAACAAUUCUUUGUAAUUGCUUGAAGCUAAUUUAAAUGUGCUGUUCAAUGUCUUGGCUCAGGUAUUUCUGUGUAGUAUAAAUAUUAAUAUUUAUUGUUUCCAACUGGUUCAUACUUGAUGUGUUUUGUAAUGUGCACUGAGUUGUUGUUUGUGUCAAGUUGCAUUAAUAAUACUAGACUUUAUUGUAAAAUUUGCAUUUCUCAGCCCUGAUGAAGUGUACAUUUUUAUGUUUGUGAAGGUUGUACAUUGAUGGUUCUUCAUGUAAUUGCUAUUUCUUACACAAGGUGACAGACACAUGCAUUGAAUACUAUACAGUUUUUUGUAUGGUAGCAAAUAAAAACGAUAACCAAA